rnacentral:lncRNA from 1 species
UUUCGCGCUUCUGCCCUGGCCCUCUGCGGGCCGCUCCGCCGGUGCUGUCCCUGGGCGCCUCCGUGCUCUCAGCCAACCACCUCUGAGAGCGCCCACUCGAGCGCCCCGGGAGCCAGAGGGCGGGGGUCCUCGCCGGGACCCUCCUGUGGGCCCAGGGGAAAUAAUGAAGAUGUUUCAUUUUCAAGACCAGCAGAUCUUGACCUUAUUCAGUCAACUCCCUUUAAACCCCUGGCACUGAAAACACCACCUCGUGUACUUACGCUGAGUGAAAGACCACUAGAUUUUCUGGAUUUAGAAAGACCUCCUACAACCCCUCAAAAUGAAGAAAUCCGAGCAGUUGGCAGACUAAAAAGAGAGCGGUCUAUGAGUGAAAAUGCUGUUCGCCAAAAUGGACAGCUGGUCAGAAAUGAUUCUCUGUGGCACAGAUCAGAUUCUGCCCCAAGAAAUAAAAUUUCAAGGUUCCAGGCACCGAUUUCUGCACCGGAGUACACGUAUGGCAUUUCAAAUAUAGAUACAACCAUUGAAGGAACGUCAGAUGACCUGACUGUUGUAGAUGCAGCUUCACUAAGACGACAG